rnacentral:rRNA from 1 species
AGAGUUUGAUCCUGGCUCAGAUUGAACGCUGGCGGCAUGCUUUACACAUGCAAGUCGAACGGCAGCGGGGGCUUCGGCCUGCCGGCGAGUGGCGAACGGGUGAGUAAUGCAUCGGAACGUGCCCAUGUCGUGGGGGAUAACUACGCGAAAGCGUAGCUAAUACCGCAUACGCCCCGAGGGGGAAAGCGGGGGACUCUUCGGAGCCUCGCGCGAUUGAAGCGGCCGAUGCCGGAUUAGCUAGUUGGUGAGGUAAAGGCUCACCAAGGCGACGAUCCGUAGCGGGUCUGAGAGGAUGAUCCGCCACACUGGGACUGAGACACGGCCCAGACUCCUACGGGAGGCAGCAGUGGGGAAUUUUGGACAAUGGGGGGAACCCUGAUCCAGCCAUGCCGCGUGAGUGAAGAAGGCCUUCGGGUUGUAAAGCUCUUUCGGCCGGGAAGAAAUCGCGCACUCUAACAUAGUGUGUGGAUGACGGUACCGGACUAAGAAGCACCGGCUAACUACGUGCCAGCAGCCGCGGUAAUACGUAGGGUGCGAGCGUUAAUCGGAAUUACUGGGCGUAAAGCGUGCGCAGGCGGUUUGCCAAGACAGGCGUGAAAUC